CAAUCUGCCUUGGAGUGGGGAAUAACGGCUGGAAACAGCCGCUAAUACCGCAUGACGCGUCUGGGAGGCAUCUCUCUGGACGCCAAAGAUUUAUCGCUCUGAGAUGAGCUCGCGUCUGAUUAGCUAGUUGGCGGGGUAACGGCCCACCAAGGCGACGAUCAGUAGCCGGACUGAGAGGUUGGCCGGCCACAUUGGGACUGAGACACGGCCCAGACUCCUACGGAAGGCAGCAG
rnacentral:rRNA from 1 species